rnacentral:rRNA from 1 species
CCUACUAAGAACUGGGAGUAACUUACUGGAAACCGGAGCUAAUACCGGAUAAUAUUUCGAACCGCAUGGUUCGAUAGUGAAAGGUGGUUUUGCUAUCACUUAUAGAUGGACCCGCGCCGUAUUAGCUAGUUGGUAAGGUAACGGCUUACCAAGGCGACGAUACGUAGCCGACCUGAGAUGGUGAUCGGCCACACUGGAACUGAGACACGGUCCAGACUCCUACGGGAGGCAGCAGGG